rnacentral:rRNA from 1 species
GGGGACCCGCACAAGCGGUGGAUGAUGUGGUUUAAUUCGAUGCAACGCGAAAAACCUUACCCACCUUUGACAUGUACGGAAGUUACCAGAGGUGGUUUCGUGCUCGAAAGAGAACCGUAACACAGGUGCUGCAUGGCUGUCGUCAGCUCGUGUCGUGAGAUGUUGGGUUAAGUCCCGCAACGAGCGCAACCCACGCCAUUAGUUGCCAUCAUUUAGUUGGGCACUCUAAUGGGACCGCCGGUGGUAAGCCGGAGGAAGGUGUGGAUGACGUCAAGUCCUCAUGGCCCUUACAGGGUGGGCUACACACGUGCUACAAUGGCGACUACAGAGGGUUGCAAGCCAGCGAUGGUGAGCCAAUCCCCAAAAGUCGUCUCAGUUCGGAUUGCACUCUGCAACUCGAGUGCAUGAAGUCGGAAUCGCUAGUAAUCGCGGAUCAGCAUGCCGCGAUGAAUACGUUCCCGGGCCUUGUACACACCGCCCGUCACACCAUGGGAGUUGGUUCUACCCGAAGGCGAUGCGCUAACCAGCAAUGGAGGCAGUCGACCACGGUAGGGUCAGCGACUGGGGUGAAGUCGUAAACAAGGUAACCGUAAGGGC